AGUGAACGCUGGCGGUAGGCCUAACACAUGCAAGUCGAACGGCAGCACAGUAAGAGCUUGCUCUUACGGGUGGCGAGUGGCGGACGGGUGAGGAAUACAUCGGAUCUACUUUUUCGUGGGGGAUAACGUAGGGAAACUUACGCUAAUACCGCAUACGACCUACGGGUGAAAGCAGGGGAUCUUCGGACCUUGCGCGAUUGAAUGAGCCGAUGUCGGAUUAGCUAGUUGGCGGGGUAAAGGCCCACCAAGGCGACGAUCCGUAGCUGGUCUGAGAGGAUGAUCAGCCACACUGGAACUGAGACACGGUCCAGACUCCUACGGGAGGCAGCAGUGGGGAAUAUUGGACAAUGGGCGCAAGCCUGAUCCAGCCAUACCGCGUGGGUGAAGAAGGCCUUCGGGUUGUAAAGCCCUUUUGUUGGGAAAGAAAAGCAGCAGGUUAAUACCCCGCUGUUCUGACGGUACCCAAAGAAUAAGCACCGGCUAACUUCGUG
rnacentral:rRNA from 1 species